GGGGACUGCGUGUGUGGCGGCGCGGUAAUGCGGGGGGUGAAUGGUGUAUUCGGAUGUAUAGGGUUUUAAGGGUGUGAAGGAGGGCCUAUAAGGCAGUUGUGAGAUCUCACAGGUUAACAGUGAAUAGGCCGUUGAUACGGUAGGUAUUGAGUAAAUUUGGAGUGUGUGGGAUAAGUAGUGUAGCGGUGAAAUGCAUAGAUAUGAAUUAGAACACCAAUUAAGAAGGCAGGUUACUAAGAUUUAACUGACGCUGAGGGACGAAAGCGUGGGGAGCAAACAGGAUUAGAUACCCGGGUAGUC
rnacentral:rRNA from 1 species